CUGCAGCUGGGAGAGGAACCCCAGCCCCGGGAGUCACAGGUGUUCCCAUUCUGUGAUCAGGACAGAACACAGACACCUCACCAUGGAGUUUGUGCUGGGCUGGGUUUUCCUGGUUGCUCUUUUAAAAGGUGUCCAGUGUGACGUGCAGCUGGUGGAGUCUGGGGGAGACCUGGUGAAGCCUGGGGGGUCCCUGAUACUCACCUGUGUAGCCUCUGGAUUCACCUUCAGUAGCAACAGCAUGAACUGGGUCCACCAGACUCUAGGGAAGGGGCUUCAGUGGGUCGCAUAUAUCAGAUAUGAUGGAAGUAGCACAUACUACACAGACUCCGUGAAGGGUCGAUUCACCAUAUCCAGAGACAACGCCAAGAACACGCUAUAUCUGCAGAUGAACAACCUGGGGGCCAAAGACAUGGCCACAUAUUACCGUGCAAGAGACACAGAGAGGGGACCCCACUGGGAGUCCAGACACAAACCUCCCUGCAGGAGGGGAUCAGCACCAUCAGGGGGCACACACUAUGCACAAUUCUGCUUUGUGUUCCCAGGAGCAGGUGUCCAGUGUGACGUGCAGCUGGCGGAGUCUGGGGGAGACCUGGUGAAGCCUGGGGGGGUCCCUGAGACUCACCUGUGUAGCCUCUGGAUUCACCUUCAGUAG